rnacentral:lncRNA from 1 species
GACUGUCUCUACUCCCCUGACUGGUACUAUUGACAUGAGGUCUCUACUCACCAUGACUGCUACCUAUUGACAUGAGGUCUCUACUCCCAUGACUGGUACCUAUUGACAUGAGGUCUCUACUCCCAUGACUGGUACCUUUGACAUGAGGUCUCUACUCACCCUGACUGGUACCUAUUGACAUGAGGUCUCUACUCACCAUGACUGGUACCUAUUGACAUGUCUCUACUCACCAUGACUGGUACCUAUUGACAUG